UUCCUUUUCCUCAACGGGGGCCUUUUCCCAUUUUUCCUGUGAUCUGGUUCUCUCUCUUUCUUACUCACGUGGCUCCUCCGCGGCCCUCUCACGGAGUUUCUUCGCUUCCGGCCUCUCCGCCGCCGACGAGCCGCAGUCACCUGAGACCACCAGGUCGUCGAGCGAGAGCGCUCCCGUAACCGCCAGAGGGCCGUCUCCGCUGCCGCCAUAGUUCAAGCAAUGGGCCUACCAGCCCGAGUGCAGGAGGUGGAAGGAUAGAGAAGAGGAGAUCCUUCAACACAUCGAGCGCAUCACUGUCCUCACGAAGAGAUUCUUCACUCCAGCAGAUAUAGUGAUGGGAACAUUUAAGUGCGGACGAUGAAAAGGCAGUGGUUGAAAAUUUUGUUGCAUAUCAACCACAAUUGGAAGAUAAGAUUGGUUGUGGCCUUGAUUCUAUCAUGCUUUUAUUGAUGUGCUGGCAUCUAUUGGACCAUAUGAUGGAAUGAUACACUAUGGCAUGUGCUGAUGGAGGUUGCCACAGUUCUCGAACUGCCUAUAAAUGCAAUCAGACCAACUCAAAGUUGAGUUACAUGAGUGAGUUACCUUUCAUAUUUUCCCUCUCUUAGAACCGCAAUCUCUUUGAAGCUUCACUUCUUUCAUAUAGCUUAUUUUUUUCAAAUACAAUGCAUUUUUAGUAUUGUUUAGAAUAAUAAAUCAAAAAGAGUUCUAGAGGGAAAAUAUGCUUGGUAUGGAGUACUGCCUCCAUGUCUUGGUGUAGGCAAAUAUUUAGCCAGACUUGUACAAAUAGCUGAUUAGUUUAAUUGGAUCCUGAUCAAAUAUAAAAAAAACUAUUCAGUUAGGUGUUCUCCUUGAUUGUUCUUGAGACACCAGCAUUCUGCUAAUUCUUUAUCGUGGCUUGAUUAGACAAUGUGAGACAUGAUUUCAUGUUUAUGAAGCACUGUGGUUAUUAAAAUUCAUAUUUCUGUAAUAUGUUCCUGCUUCAUCAUUCAAUGGGAGUCUCUUUCAACCUAAAUCCUUUUUCCUUGAGCUACAUGAGUGUCCUACGUUAUACCUAGCCAAGUUGUGCAUUAUAACAGUGCAGAAUUGUUCAAAUAGUUGAGGGGAAAAUUUUGUGCUUGUGGGCAGCACAAAUGCUGUCAACAAUCAAUUACUGCUGGCCAACAGCGAUGCAACAACAUGGUCUAUUUUCUGAGAUCAGGAAAGACCAUGGAACUUGCAAUUUUAUUAUAAAAAAUGCUUGACAUGGGUGCUGCACAAAUGGAAGAUGCAUUUACCAAGGUUACAACUAUUGUCUUCAUAUGAAUUAGCAAGCAAGAUGGUGACUGUCAUUUUAGCUAUCCAUAUAGUUUAUGAGGUAUACUAUAAAUGCUGCAUGCACCUUUUGCCCUUUUAAUGUAAAUGCAUUCAGGUUCUAGUGGUUUAAAAAUGUUUCCACUGUCCUGUUCUUUCUGAAUUGUUCUUGAAUGAAAUUAUUUUCUCAGGUUCUACUUGAAGUUCUUGCUUAGGUAUGCAGAUAAGGAUCUGGGAAUCCACCUUGUGCGUUCUUAUUCUUUAUGAACCAAAUUUAUCUGUCAUUGUCUUGUGCAAUCACAUUCUCGGCGUCUUAGGUUUCCCAGGAGGCCAUAAAGCGUUCUACUUAAAAUAUGAAAAUACAAGAACACCUUGAAAUAAAUGGGAAACUAUAUGUCAUCUUAUACACGAAAAUUAUUAGUUUUUAAAAUUUAAUAAACAAAAUCCAACGGGUGACUGCAUGAAGAUUGUUACUUUUGUGAUAGGGUUGAUUUUAUUUACAAACUAAUUAUUUUCUUCUUUUUUCUGGACAAAUAUUACCUCUAAGAUUUCUUGCCCUUUGUCAGUUCUGUAACUGUAUUUUGAUAAGCAGUUUAACAAGCUUUUCUUAUGCAUGCAAAGAAUAGCAUGAGAACCUCUCUCUCUCUCUCUGAAUCUACAUUGUUCUUCUGAUCAAGCCUCUUGAUUGUUUUCCCUAUCCAUAGAUGGAUUAUUUCAGCUCAUGUAUCUGGAUGUACAGAAUUCUAGUUGGGAUGUUAGGAUAAGUAUCCAUCUUAUGCAAAAGGUUCAUAUGAGUUUCGAAUGUCUGAAGAUUUUACCUUGUCACGAUAUAUUUUGCUCAUCCAACCACCCAAAAUUCUCACUGGUUAUAGAUAUGGAGGACUCUCAAAUAAUAUUUAUAUUUCAAGUUCAUAGUCUCAUUUCCAAUGUUGUAGAGCCCUCCUAGAUUUUGAUCUAGUGACCAAACAGGUAAAUUGUAACAAACAUGAUGAAAUGAAAUAUGCCAGAUGAUCUUUCUAAUAUGUUCCUCUUUUUAAUGCUUCUCUUGGAAAAUUCAUGAAGUCACACCUUAGUCUUGUAUUUAUAAGGUUAUGACAUUGCUUGUCAGGUAGAGGUACUGCGUUGUAUAGUUUGGUCAUGUUGUAUGCAGCCUGAAGUUUGGUUCCGAAGGUCAGUGAAUCUCACCUCGGUGUGGCUUAGUGUUUUUUUUUUUUCAAAAGAGCUGAAAGAAAUUUCACAUGCUCACCCACUCAAGGUGUAGCACGAGGUAUGAGUACUCCUAUUCCACCCUACUCAGUCUGUAUGUCUUCCAUUUUAAACACAAGCUGACCCAUUCCAUGGAUUUGAAAAAUCCUAGCUGUGUUCCAUUCAAAAUUAAAAUCAUUUAGCUGGUCUCGUAGUAUUCUAGUUAUAGUUCAAGAAAAACUAGUCUUUUAAACUUCCCGUGACCUUUGUAGUGACCCUUAAAGAAGUCCUCUGGAAAAUUGUGAAAUGAUUCUAUGCUUUCCUUCCCUUAUGUCUUCGUUCUCCUAUGCCUCGACUACGUGACAUCUAGCUGAAUUGUCUCUUGAAGCACCCAUCUGCUCCUGGACUCGACUCAUUAUUUCCAGAGUUACUGUUUCCCAAUCAUUUCGCUGUCUUAAUGAGAAGCAGAUGACUCGAUCAGUGUUUGCUCAAAAAUUACUGUGGUUUGCCUAUUGCCAGUUGAUUUGGAGGAGUGAAAACUACAAAAGUUUGACGACGUCCGUGGCUGUUGAUGAGCAGGGAAAGGGUGUACCUGGAAGAGGAGGGCAUCAUUGCUGGCUGGACGCCACAAAGAACACGAUAGUCCGCGGCACCUUUUUCUUCUUACAAUUUUUUUUAUUUCUGCAUCUCAACACUCACCCUUUCAGGCUUUUCCAAUCCUUGCCUCCUAUAUCACAUCCCUAUCUGGUCUCCAUUGGACUUCAUGUUCUACGUGUUGUUAUAAAUAAAGCUAAAGAAAAAAGAGAGUACGUAUGACAGCACGACAAGCCAAGGGUUUCUUGCCACCGCAUCGGUCGGAUCUUAACAUGGGCAAAUUAUAACCUACACCGCGUGCAAGACUACUAUUACGUUGAAUCCAUAGCUGAUAUCUUUCCCUUUCUUGAAACGAGGGAUGGGAAAGAAAGGAUCAAGGGAUCUGGAAAGAUAGGAUAGAGAAAAGUAAC